rnacentral:tRNA from 1 species
GGGGGUAUAGCUUAGUUGGUAGAGUGCAUUUUGAGCAUGCACGAGAUACUUGGUUCAAUUCCCAGUACCUCCA